rnacentral:lncRNA from 1 species
ACCACUAUUAAUCCUUGCACGGAUUUCUAUUCAUAUGUAUGCGGCCGGUGGGAAAGCAAUCAUCCUCUUUCAAGUGGUGGGGGAAGCUAUGAUGUUUAUCAGGAGAUUCGUAAAGAUAUUCCGGAAAUGCUAAGCUAUAUUCUUGGAAACAGAACCCUGGUUGAGACUAACCAAACCAUAAUCGACAAGGUGACAAUCAUGUAUAAUGCAUGUUUAGCACUUCCAGAUACUCCUGAUGCAUUAAUUAGAGUGCUGAAUGAAUCUGGAUAUAAUUACUGGCCGAUUCUCGGUGGACAAAACGUCUUCAACUCAAGUAAUUGGACGGAUUUACUGCGCCAUAUGGACAUUUCUGCACUUUUUUAUGUGGACGUAGAUAAGACAUUAUACGCCAGAAAACCGGUGUAUCAAAACCUUCU